rnacentral:rRNA from 1 species
CACGUAGUUAGCCGGGGCUUCUUAGUCAGGUACCGUCAUUAUCUUUCCUGCUGAUAGGGCUUUACAUACCGAGAUACUUCUUCACUCACGCGGCGUCGCUGCAUCAGGGUUUCCCCCAUUGUGCAAUAUUCCCCACUGCUGCCUCCCGUAGGAGUCUGGGCCGUGUCUCAGUCCCAAUGUGGCCGUUCACCCUCUCAGGCCGGCUACUGAUCGUCGCUUUGGUGGGCCGUUACCCCGCCAACUGGCUAAUCAGACGCGGAUCCAUCGUAUACCACCGGAGUUUUUCACACCGCCCCAUGCGGAGCUGUGCGCUCAUGCGGUAUUAGCACCUAUUUCUAAGUGUUAUCCCCCGGUAUACGGCAGGUUAUCCACGCGUUACUCACCCGUCCGCCACUAACUCAUAAAUCACUAGGUUUCAGUAUGAGUCCGUUCGACUUGCAUGUGUUAGGCACGCCGCCAGCGUUCAUCCUGAGCCAGGAUCAAACUCU